ensembl:lncRNA
CUGCAUUAUAAUUUAGUGAUAUUUCUUACUAAGAAUGGCUAAUGGUUUUGGCAUUCAUCACAGGAACAGGGUGGUGUUUAUCUCCCGCUGACCCUCAAUGACAGAGAUAUUUCCUGAACCCUCGACAUCAGAUCGUCAAUGCUUGAUUGAUAUCUGAGCAAUAUUUUAAUCCGAAAUGCCCGUCCAGGCGCUUAACCGAUGUUGAGCCUAUUUUUCCGGAAAUGUUUGGUGUGAAGUCUGAAGUAUCAAUCUCGACAUGUUCCCAUCUGAUCCAUUGAUGCAUUAUUAAUAAUCGAGAAUAGGCUCAAUUACUUUGAGAAUAGCCCGAGAGUAAUACUGCAGAUUUGCUAAUGGGAACGCAGAGUGGGGAAGUUAAAAAUGAUCAAAUAAUUGUUCUAAAAAAAUAAAAAAAAAAUUUAAAAAAGAAGAACCUUAUCUUAAGAUAUGCAAACGGAUUUAACUGCUGCAGCCGGUUCUGUAAGUAGUAUAUCUAAUGAAGUGUUUUAUUCCUCUUAUACCGCAGCCAUGUGCUAACUUCCAUCCAUCCACCCAUUGAUUUAUUUUCUGUACCGCUUAUCCCAGCAGACUUGGGGAACAAGGCAGGGGGACACCCUGGACAGGGUGCCAACCCAUCGCAGGGCACAAUCGCACACCCACUGGACAAUUUAGACAUACCAAUCAGCUAGCAAUGCCUGUCUUUGGACUAGGGGAGGAAACCAGAGAACCCGGAGGAAACAUGGGACGCUCAUCACAAACGACACUGUUGGAAAACCUACGGACAAACUCAGAAAGACCGGAAGUGACGCGAACCGACCGUUAAGCGGACGUCCACUGACGAAGGCACAACCGCCGUGGUCGCCUACAGUAUAACGAGUCUUUAUCGUUCGCAUAUACAUUAUGCUUUUCUUUGUAUGUCAGGAAGUCGGGGUCAGAGCGCAGGGUCCGCCAUGAUACAGCGCCCCUGGAGCAGAGAGGGUUAAAGGCCUUGCUCAAGGGGACAACAGUGGUAGCUUGGCAGCGCUGGGGCUUGAACCCCCGACCUUCCUUCUGAUCAGGAACCCAGAGCCUUAACCACCAAGCCUUCACUGCCCCUCAGUCUGUAUGUAUGGAGACCUUUGGGACACCCCUGCAGUUACUAGAAUUUAAGUUGAUCUAAUUUGGACAUGAUCGCACACACACCGUUCUGUUUUAUUUGGAGUUAUUUUAGAAAAUGUAAAGAAAAAGAAAAAACACCCAAACGAAUGCAAAUUUGAUUGUGUGUUUUCUUUUUGUUCUUAAUAGCUGCCAUUUGUUUUAGAGUAACAAUUAAACAAUAGUUUUCAGUCGUCAUGAAAACCUCGUAUCUCACAAGUUCUACCAGAAAGAAAAAAAAACAACGAUUUAUGCUACAAAUGUUUUACAUUGCGUCGUUGCUUAUAAUCACACAAAAACUCGUUAAUCGUGAUCUACUGUAGCAGAGGUACAGUUCAAACAUUUAACAGAUUUGUUAUCGAUAUUGUUUGUAAGGAAAGUUGGAGACCACUGGAAGGAUGUCAUUUUAUUCGUGACUGCGGUGUUUUUAAACACAGAGUUAUGUCCGGAUCAAUUUAACCCGGCGAAGAGCCCAGUGGGAGCAAAAAGUACGGGCAGGUAAGUAAGGAAUAACACAUGGCAGGAUAUGGUGGAAUAAGAGGAAUAACA